rnacentral:rRNA from 1 species
UACGAAGGGUGCAAGCGUUACUCGGAAUUACUGGGCGUAAAGCGUGCGUAGGUGGUGAGUUAAGUCUGAUGUGAAAUCCCCGGGCUCAACCUGGGAAUGGCAUUUGGGACUGCAAGGCUGGAGUGCGGCAGAGGAGACUGGAAUUCCUGGUGUAGCAGUGAAAUGCGUAGAUAUCAGGAGGAAUACCGAUGGCGAAGGCAGGUCUCUGGGCUGACACUGACGCUCAUGCACGAAAGCGUGGGGAGCAAACAGG